UACGUAGGGUGCGAGCGUUAAUCGGAAUUACUGGGCGUAAAGCGUGCGCAGGCGGUUCGCUAAGACCGAUGUGAAAUCCCCGGGCUUAACCUGGGAACUGCAUUGGUGACUGGCGGGCUAGAGUAUGGCAGAGGGGGGGUAGAAUUCCACGUGUAGCGGUGAAAUGCGUAGAGAUGUGGAGGAACACCGAUGGCGAAGGCAGCCUUCUGGGCCAACACUGACGCUCAUGCACGAAAGCGUGGGGAGCAAACAGG
rnacentral:rRNA from 1 species